ACGGAGAGUGCAAGCGUUGUUCGGAAUUACUGGGCGUAAAGCGCACGUAGGCGGCUUGGUAAGUCUGGUGUGAAAGCCCGGGGCUCAACCCUGGAAGUGCAUUGGAUACUGCCGAGCUCGAGUUCUGGAGGGGGAAGCGGAAUUCCGAGUGUAGAGGUGAAAUUCGUAGAUAUUCGGAGGAACACCGGUGGCGAAGGCGGCUUCCUGGACAGAUACUGACGCUGAGGUGCGAAAGCGUGGGGAGCAAACAGG
rnacentral:rRNA from 1 species